GACGAACGCUGGCGGCGUGCUUAACACAUGCAAGUCGAACGGAAAGGCCCUGCUUGCAGGGUACACGAGUGGCGAACGGGUGAGUAACACGUGGGUGAUCUGCCCUGCACUUCGGGAUAAGCCUGGGAAACUGGGUCUAAUACCGGAUAGGAGCCAUUUUUAGUGUGAUGGUUGGAAAGUUUUUUCGGUGUAGGAUGAGCUCGCGGCCUAUCAGCUUGUUGGUGGGGUAAUGGCCUACCAAGGCGGCGACGGGUAGCCGGCCUGAGAGGGUGGACGGCCACAUUGGGACUGAGAUACGGCCCAGACUCCUACGGGAGGCAGCAGUGGGGAAUAUUGCACAAUGGGCGCAAGCCUGAUGCAGCGACGCCGCGUGGGGGAGGACGGCCUUCGGGUUGUAAACUCCUUUCGCUAGGGACGAAGCUUUUUGUGACGGUACCUAGAUAAGAAGCACCGGCUAACUACGUG
rnacentral:rRNA from 1 species